rnacentral:rRNA from 1 species
UACGUAGGGUGCGAGCGUUGUCCGGAAUUACUGGGCGUAAAGCGUGCGCAGGCGGUUCGCCAAGUCAGGUGUGAAAUCCCCGGGCUUAACCUGGGAAUUGCGCUUGAAACUAGCGGGCUUGAGUGUGGCAGAGGGGGGUGGAAUUCCACGUGUAGCAGUGAAAUGCGUAGAGAUGUGGAGGAACACCGAUGGCGAAGGCAGCCCCCUGGGUCAACACUGACGCUCAUGCACGAAAGCGUGGGGAGCAAACAGG